rnacentral:rRNA from 1 species
GAUGAACGCUAGCUACAGGCUUAACACAUGCAAGUCGAGGGGCAGCAUGGUCUUAGCUUGCUAAGGCCGAUGGCGACCGGCGCACGGGUGAGUAACACGUAUCCAACCUGCCGUCUACUCUUGGACAGCCUUCUGAAAGGAAGAUUAAUACAAGAUGGCAUCAUGAGUCCACAUGUUCACAUGAUUAAAGGUAUUCCGGUAGACGAUGGGGAUGCGUUCCAUUAGAUAGUAGGCGGGGUAACGGCCCACCUAGUCUUCGAUGGAUAGGGGUUCUGAGAGGAAGGUCCCCCACAUUGGAACUGAGACACGGUCCAAACUCCUACGGGAGGCAGCAGUGAGGAAUAUUGGUCAAUGGGCGAGAGCCUGAACCAGCCAAGUAGCGUGAAGGAUGACUGCCCUAUGGGUUGUAAACUUCUUUUAUAAAGGAAUAAAGUCGGGUAUGGAUACCCGUUUGCAUGUACUUUAUGAAUAAGGAUCGGCUAACUCCGUGCCAGCAGCCGCGGUAAUACGGAGGAUCCGAGCGUUAUCCGGAUUUAUUGGGUUUAAAGGGAGCGUAGAUGGAUGUUUAAGUCAGUUGUGAAAGUUUGCGGCUCAACCGUAAAAUUGCAGUUGAUACUGGAUAUCUUGAGUGCAGUUGAGGCAGGCGGAAUUCGUGGUGUAGCGGUGAAAUGCUUAGAUAUCACGAAGAACUCCGAUUGCGAAGGCAGCCUGCUAAGCUGCAACUGACAUUGAGGCUCGAAAGUGUGGGUAUCAAACAGGAUUAGAUACCCUGGUAGUCCACACGGUAAACGAUGAAUACUCGCUGUCUGCGAUAUACAGCAAGCGGCCAAGCGAAAGCGUUAAGUAUUCCACCUGGGGAGUACGCCGGCAACGGUGAAACUCAAAGGAAUUGACGGGGGCCCGCACAAGCGGAGGAACAUGUGGUUUAAUUCGAUGAUACGCGAGGAACCUUACCCGGGCUUAAAUUGCAGAUGAAUUACGGUGAAAGCCGUAAGCCGCAAGGCAUCUGUGAAGGUGCUGCAUGGUUGUCGUCAGCUCGUGCCGUGAGGUGUCGGCUUAAGUGCCAUAACGAGCGCAACCCUUGUUGUCAGUUACUAACAGGUUCCGCUGAGGACUCUGACAAGACUGCCAUCGUAAGAUGUGAGGAAGGUGGGGAUGACGUCAAAUCAGCACGGCCCUUACGUCCGGGGCUACACACGUGUUACAAUGGGGGGUACAGAGGGCCGCUACCACGCGAGUGGAUGCCAAUCCCAAAAACCUCUCUCAGUUCGGACUGGAGUCUGCAACCCGACUCCACGAAGCUGGAUUCGCUAGUAAUCGCGCAUCAGCCACGGCGCGGUGAAUACGUUCCCGGGCCU